rnacentral:rRNA from 1 species
UAGGGAAUCUUCGGCAAUGGACGAAAGUCUGACCGAGCAACGCCGCGUGAGUGAAGAAGGUUUUCGGAUCGUAAAACUCUGUUGUUAGAGAUGAACAAGGACGUUAGUAACUGAACGUCCCCUGACGGUAUCUAACCAGAAAGCCACGGCUAACUACGUGCCAGCAGCCGCGGUAAUACGUAGGUGGCAAGCGUUGUCCGGAUUUAUUGGGCGUAAAGCGAGCGCAGGCGGUUUCUUAAGUCUGAUGUGAAAGCCCCCGGCUCAACCGGGGAGGGUCAUUGGAAACUGGGAGACUUGAGUGCAGAAGAGGAGAGUGGAAUUCCAUGUGUAGCGGUGAAAUGCGUAGAUAUAUGGAGGAACACCAGUGGCGAAGGCGGCUCUCUGGUCUGUAACUGACGCUGAGGCUCGAAAGCGUGGGGAGCAAACAGG